rnacentral:tRNA from 1 species
GAGGGUAUAGCUCAAGCGGUAGAGCACAUGCUUAGCAUGCAUGAGGUUCUGGGUUCAAUCCCCAGUACCUCCA